UGGGGAAUAUUGCGCAAUGGGGGGAACCCUGACGCAGCAACGCCGCGUGAAGGAUGAAGGUUUUCGGAUUGUAAACUUCUUUGAUGAGGGACGAAGGAAGUGACGGUACCUCAAAAACAAGCCACGGCUAACUACGUGCCAGCAGCCGCGGUAAUACGUAGGUGGCGAGCGUUGUCCGGAAUUACUGGGUGUAAAGGGCGUGUAGGCGGGUGAUCAAGUCAGAUGUGAAAUACCACGGCUUAACUGUGGGGCUGCAUCUGAAACUGAGCAUCUUGAGUGUCGGAGAGGAAAGCGGAAUUCCCAGUGUAGCGGUGAAAUGCGUAGAUAUUGGGAGGAACACCAGUGGCGAAGGCGGCUUUCUGGACGAUAACUGACGCUGAGGCGCGAAAGCGUGGGGAGCAAACAGG
rnacentral:rRNA from 2 species